rnacentral:sRNA from 1 species
UAAUCGUAUAGGAUAAAAAUGAGGUC